GAUGAGCCAGAAUUGGCACCUUGUCUAUAAAUAAGGUGCAAAAUGAUUUUAACUGAAGAGUUUGAUCAUGGCUCAGAUUGAACGCUGGCGGCAGGCUUAACACAUGCAAGUCGAGCGGGGGAAGGUAGCUUGCUACUGGACCUAGCGGCGGACGGGUGAGUAAUG
rnacentral:rRNA from 1 species